rnacentral:misc_RNA from 1 species
AAGGAUCAUUAUUACAUGCCUGCAAUAUUGCUUGGGAGACCUUGCAAUGUUAGCUCGCUAAUUCCUUGCCUAUAUUACCUUCUGUUACUUCCCUUGGCAGGACAUCCUGUCGCUGGAAUAAGUUAAACUCUCUUGCAUUUUAGCAUUUUAUCAGAAAACAUCAAGUUAUUACAACUUUCAACAAUGGAUCUCUUGGCUCUG